UACGUAGGGUCCAAGCGUUGUCCGGAUUUAUUGGGCGUAAAGAGCUCGUAGGCGGCUCGGUAAGUCGGAUGUGAAAACUCCAGGCUCAACCUGGAGACGCCAUUCGAUACUGCUGUGGCUUGAGUCUGGUAGGGGAGCACGGAAUUCCUGGUGUAGCGGUGAAAUGCGCAGAUAUCAGGAGGAACACCGGUGGCGAAGGCGCUGCUCUGGGCCGGUACUGACGCUGAGGAGCGAAAGCGUGGGUAGCAAACAGG
rnacentral:rRNA from 1 species